UCGUGAAAUCUCACGGCUUAACUGUGAGCGUGCGGGCGAUACGGGCAGACUUGAGUACUGCAGGGGAGACUGGAAUUCCUGGUGUACCGGUGGAAUGCGCAGAUAUCAGGAGGAACACCGGUGGCGAAGGCGGGUCUCUGGGCAGUAACUGACGCUGAGGAGCGAAAGCGUGGGGAGCGAACAGGAUUAGAUACCCUGGUAGUCCACGCCGUAAACGGUGGGUACUAGGUGUGGGUUUCCUUCCUUGGGAUCCGUGCCGUAGCUAACGCAUUAAGUACCCCGCCUGGGGAGUACGGCCGCAAGGCUAAAACUCAAAGAAAUUGACGGGGGCCCGCACAAGCGGCGGAGCAUGUGGAUUAAUUCGAUGCAACGCGAAGAACCUUACCUGGGUUUGACAUGCACAGGACGCCGGCAGAGAUGUCUGGUUCCCUUGUGGCCUGUGUGCAGGUGGUGCAUGGCUGUCGUCAGCUCGUGUCGCGAGAUGUUGGGUUAAGUCCCGCAACGAGCGCAACCCUUGUCUCAUGUUGCCAGCGUGGUAAUGCCGGGGACUCGUGAGAGACUGCCGGGGUCAACUCGGAGGAAGGUGGGGAUGACGUCAAGUCAUCAUGCCCU
rnacentral:rRNA from 1 species